rnacentral:rRNA from 1 species
CCUACGGGAGGCAGCAGUGAGGAAUAUUGGUCAAUGGACGAGAGUCUGAACCAGCCAAGUAGCGUGAAGGAUGACUGCCCUAUGGGUUGUAAACUUCUUUUAUAUGGGAAUAAAAUGUUCCACGUGUGGCUUUUUGUAUGUACCAUAUGAAUAAGGAUCGGCUAACUCCGUGCCAGCAGCCGCGGUAAUACGGAGGAUCCGAGCGUUAUCCGGAUUUAUUGGGUGUAAAGGGAGCGUAGGUGGGUUGUUAAGUCAGUUGUGAAAGUUUGCGGCUCAACCGUAAAAUUGCAGUUGAAACUGGCAGUCUUGAGUACAGUAGAGGUAGGCGGAAUUCGUGGUGUAGCGGUGAAAUGCUUAGAUAUCACGAAGAACUCCGAUUGCGAAGGCAGCUCACUGGACUGCAACUGACACUGAUGCUCGAAAGUGUGGGUAUCAAACAGGAUUAGAUACCCGAGUAGUC